GCAUUGCGGAGCUCGCUAGUUGGGGCGUUGGCCUUCCUUAGGAGUGUGAGUCUAGCGUUAUCCCUUUUUUCCGGCUGGAUCCCGGGUUACCCCACCAGCCCGACCUCAACCCACUCACGUCCACAGCACGAGCCCCAGCGGCCUUGCGCGGUGCUUGCUCUCUAGUAGCGGCUGACUAGGUCAGUCAGGAUCUUUGAUUUUGGAGCACAAGCCUUCUGCGUGCUACUGACUGGGUCCUGGCCUCCCUCCUUCCAUGGCAUCGUCGUGAAUGGGAAUUUCCACCACUGCCUCCAUUAGUCAGAAGAUUGAACAUGUUGUAACUGUAGAAAGCCCGUCAUCCUUGUGUAUGCACUUGCUGAAAGAUCCACUGAAGAGCAACCUUCAUGAACAUUACCAGGGGACUUGUGCUCCUAUAAAACGCACUGUUUUCCUCACUGCGAGGUGGGUCUCUCACCGCGAUGGACUAUCUGUGAUCACAGAGCACUUCUUCCCUGGGCCUUCCCUGUCACACUGAUGGUGUGAGUAUGUAGGGCAGGGGUGGGAGUGAACAUGUUAAUCUCUUUUGAAUAAACUGAUUUUGAAGUAGAUGUCUCAAAAAAAAGUUUGUCGCAAUACUUUCUGGGUAGUGACAUUAAUUCUCCCCACCAAGAGUAGUAGUUUGGAGUUAUUACUUAUAAGCAGUGUGGCUUAUUUAAUAGUUUUAUUCCCAAUGCAUUUCAGGCCACACAUCUUCAACGUAUAAAGUGUUUGUGUAGGGGAGAAUUAAAGUAAAACAGAGAGCCACUUCUUCCUCCCAACCUGUCUCCAGUGAUUCCAGAGAGAAUGCGGCAGGUCAUAAGUACAGAACAAUGCUUUGCACCUGAAAUAAACCAAUAAAGUAAGGCGGACACAGGAGAUGACUCAAUCCCAAUUUAGGUUUUGGGGACAGAAGGGCUGACCGUCCCGGGGAUGUGGCCUUGAGUGUUCUCUGUACCCCGUGCAAUUUUCCACAGGAGCCUUGGCAGAGAGCUGCUGUCAGAGUCUGGGGCUUGGUCCAUCCAGAGCUGGGCAGCAUCACCUCCCAUGCCCUGCCCAGUGCUGCCUGGGCUUAGAAGCUGGCAUGGGCUCUUGGUGCAGGCAUGCACACACACACCAGCAAUGAGGUCCACACAUCAGUCGCCCCAAACUCAAACCCCUGGACUCUCGCACGCCAGAUGAGAGCAUGCUACGGUUCUUCAGUUAUGUUGAGAAAAGACGUAAAUAGCAAUAAUCUUGAAACAAUGUUAGGGAAAUAAAAGCACAAGUGUAAGCCAGAAAAGAAGUCAGCUGUCAAUAUAACAACAAAUAUAAGAACAAAAUCAGAAGCCCGGGUGUGGUGGCUCAUGCCUGUAAUCCCAGCACUUUGCGGGGCUGAGGCAGGCGGAUCACGAGGUCAGGAGUUCGAGACCAGCCUGAACAACAUGGUGAAACCCUGUCUCUGCUAAAAAUACAAAAAUUAGCUGGGCAUGGUGGCAUGCGCCUGUAACCCCAGCUACUCAGGAGGCUGAGGCAGGAGAAUCACUUGAACGUAGGAGGCAGAGGUUGCAGUGAGCCGAAAUCGGGCCACUGCACUCCAGCCUAGGCGACAGAGUGAGACUCCGUUUAAAAAAAAAAAAAAAAAAAAGAACAAAAUCAGAAUGUGUAACUUUCAGGGGUAGCAGAGAAAUUUUGAACUAUUCAGAGGAAGUUUAAAAAAAGGAAGAAAAAAGAAACAAAUAAAAUAUAGAGAAUUGAAAAUGUAAAAUAAGAUGAGAGAAACAAAUCUGCUAUAUGAACAACUAUAAUUUGGGGAAGAUUGAAGUGAGUGUGCAUAUCCCUGAGACUGGUGAGGAACGUGUGCGUGGACAUGAACAUGUGGAUGGGAUGCCCAGGGGUGCAUACAGAGCUGGGAGGGGGAGCCAGGGCGUGGGCCAUGGGCAGGCUGCCCCCCCGCAGCCUUCCCUCCCAUAUACCUCCUAUCGGGGAAAUUCAGGAAUCCCAAGCUCUGUAGAACUUGGCCUUCUACAUCAUUAGGCAGUCAUCUCUACCAAGGAAGGAGGAGAGAACUUUUUAAAUGUACUUUUAAAAUUGUUUAUUUAAACAUUUUUUACUUAUCAAAUUAAAGUUUGUGGGUUUGAUGUAUAACUUUUAAAUAUUUGGACAUGUGUGAGAGUGUCUUUGAGCAUCAUGUGUGGGCCAGGCAGUGAGGGCCCUGAGACGUGGGCAGAUCCUGGCAAUCCAAAGAGCAGAUCCAGCUGGUCUUGCUAGGGGACUGGAGCUGGGGAGUCAAAGAAAGGGGGGCCCAUGGACCCACAGUGGACUCAGUUGCCACCACAAGGGAUAGGGAAGGCCGUGUGUGGAGUGGAUUUGGGGAAGAGCAUUCAGGAUUUCACUGUUGGGAAUGCUGAUCACGAAACAUCCACGGGAGCUGCCAAGUAGGCAUUUGGAUGUGUGGGUCUCCAGGUCAGGAGAGGGUCCCAGGUAGACUUCCAUUCAUGGACAGCAGCAGGCAAAUGGAAUUUACAGCCAUCAUAGAUGGGGACAGCAGCAAGCAUGUGACUGUAGACAGAGAAGAAGAGGAGUGAGGACUGAGCCCUGGAAUCUUCCGAUGUUAGCCAGUAACUCACUUUACUCAAUGCAUCACACAUUCAGGUAUUUGAAGUAUAUUUUUAAGGGUCUUGUAAGAGGUUGGAGAAAAUCUAACGCUAUUCAAAGCUAACUGGAGUCUAUUGAAAUUCUCUGAAAAGUUUUAAAGUAAAACUGUUUCUUCUAUCAAUCUCCUUGAUUUCAACAAGGUUUUCUUAACUUUUUAAAGCAAAUUCCAGAAUGUUUUGCACAAAAUUAAAAUUAAAGGGUGUUGCCUGUGGGCACCUUAAAGAGUCUCUUUGAUAAGUCUGCAUAUUGGCUUAUUGCUCAAGAGAGAUAAGUUGGGCUCCCCAAUUUUUAUAACAUACUGUCAACUCUGUAGUCACACUGUCUAUUUCAUGUCGUUGCUUGUUAGAAACAGACUAUCCGCACUGAGCAGAAAGUACCAGUAACUAUUCUCUGCUGCAGCAGCUGCCCAUGAUGCAUUGCGUGGUGAGCCCUCGCCCUCAGUUUUCUGCCAGGUAUCUCUCUGCCCUGCUUCCUCUGGGCUCUCCCUGAAGUUGGGGGACACUCAAUCAUCACAAACCUUGAGAUGGAGGAGGGUAAAAUGCCCAGGAAAAUCAUCAACCAAUGGAAAAGAAAAUGCAGUGAAUUAAUUCCCUGGGCUGGUUGCUCCUGCCUUAGCCUCCCAAAGUGCCAGAGGAACACUUGAGGCCAAACGUUCGAGACCAGCCUGGCCAACAUGGUGAGACCGCCCCCCUGCCGUCUCUGCAAAAAAUGAUACUAAAAAUUAAGUGCCAGCCACCUUUGUCUAGCGAGACAUGUUCUGUGUGAAUGGGGUCCCGGUGAACAGAGACCUAGUUGUGCACCCAGGAACGAGCUCAUGAACAUACCCUAUUCUGACUUUCCUCCCUUCUGUCUUACUUUUCUAGCCACUUCCUUUGGUACCAGUCCCAAAUAAAGUAUCUGCUCAGGUAUCUAAGGAAAGAUACUCCUAUUAAAUAGCACAGGCUCAACUUUAUUUUGAACUCUCUAGAAGGAUAUUACCAUAUAGGUAGUGUGGAAGAUUAUCAAAUGAAAAGAUCUUGUAUUACUGUACUAGCUUCAGGCCUUUGCAGUGGCUAUUUGCUCCACCCUAAAUGUUCUUUCUCGAGAUGGUUCACUCCCUCACAUCCCUCGCAAUGGAAAUUCAAAUGUCACCCUCCUAUGUGGCCUGGCCAGGCCAUCUUGGAGACCAGCACACCUCACCCUAUGUCACUUCUCUUGUAAUUUUUCUUCAUAGCAUCAUCUGACAUCAUAUAUGUUUUAUUAGUUGUUUGCCUACAAAAGCAAAAAGGACAGGGGUUUUACCUAUUUUUUACACCAAUAUAUCCAGCUUUGCCCACAAUAGACUUGGUACAAAUAGGCACUCAAAUUUUUGUCAAAGCAAAAUUUAUAGGGCAAUAUUUGUCUAAAGGAUAUGGCCAGAAACAUGCUUUUUUCCUUCAAGAUAUUUUUUAAAAUCUUCCAGUAAGCAUUAUACAUUUAUUGUGGCAUCUUUUCAUGUUGCGGGAAGACAGGAAUCCCGAACAGAGGGACUGGCUGAAGCCAUGGCAGGAGAACAUAAAUUGUGAAGAUUUCAUGGGCAUUUGUUAGGUCUCCAAAUUAAUACUUUUAUAAUUUCUUACGCCUGUCUUUACUGCAGUCUCUGAACAUAAACUGUGAAGAUUUCAUGGACAUUGAUCACUUCCCCAAUCAAUAUUCUUAUAAUUUCCUAUGCCUGUCUUUACUUUAAUCUCUUAAUCCUGUCAUCUUCGUAAGCUGAGGAUGUAUGUCGCCUCAGGACCCUGUGAUGAUUGCGUUAACUGCACAAGUUGUUCGUAAAGCAUUUUUGUUUGAACAAUAUGAAAUCUGGCCACCUUAAGAACAGGAUAACAGCAAUUUUCAGGGAACAAGGGAGAUAACCUUAAAGUCUGGCUGCCUGUGGGCCAGGCAGGACAGCCAUAUUUCUCUUAUUACCAAAAACGGGUAAGAGAAAUAUCACUGACUUUUUUCCCUGGUAAGGAAUAUUAAUAAUUAACAGCCCUGGGAAAAGAAUGCAUUCCCCGGCAGAGGGGGGCCUCUAAAAUAGCCACUCUGGGGGGUGUCUGCCUUGUGCAGUUGCAGAUAAGGGAUGAAACAUGCCCUGGCCUCCUGCAGCACCCCCAGGCUUGCUAGGAUUAGGAAAUUCCAGGCUGGCAAAUUCUAGUCGGACCGGUUCUCUGCUCUUGAACCCUGUUAAGAUGUUUAUGACAAUGCGUGCACAGUGGGACGUGGAACUUCAUUAGUAAUUCUAGUUUUGCCCUGACCUUGUGAUCUCGUCCUGACCUUCUGCCUUGUGAUCUUUUGUUGCCCUUGAACCAUGUGAUCUCUGUGACCCACACCCUAUUUGUACACUCCCUCCCCUUUGAAAAUUGCUAAUAAAAACUUGCUGGUUUUACAGCUCAGGGGGCAUCACGGAACCUGCCGACAUGUGAUGUCUCCCCCGGACACCCAGCUUUAAAAUUUCUCUCUUUUGUACUCUUUCCCUUUAUUUCUCAGACCGGCCAACAUGUAGGGAAAAUAGAAAAGAACCUAUGUUGAAUUAUCGGGGGCUAGUUCCCCCGAUAUUUUUGUGUUGGCUAAAUUUAAUACUCAGUUAUAGCAAUUUUUUUGAGACAGGGUCUCACUACGUUGCCCAGGCUGGCACAGUGGUACAAUCUCGGCUCACCACAACUUCUGCCUCCUGGGCUCAAGCUAUCCUUCCACAUCAGCCUACUGAGUACUUGGGACUACAGGCAUGACCCCACACCUGGCUAAUUUUUUGUUUGUUUUUUGUAGAGACAAUGUCACUAUGUUGCCUAGGCUGGUCUCAAACUCCUGGGCUCAAGCGAUCCACUUGCCUUGGCCUUCCAAAAUGCUGGGAUUACAGGCAUGAGCCAUCAUGCCCAGCCAGUUAUAGCAAUUUUCUUAUCAUUUGGUUUAGCAUUCAAUAAAUGCUAGUUAAUAUUUCUGUUGACAAAUAUUUUCAGAGUUAGCAGAUAACUAGACAGAGGAAAUCAGCCUAAGUGAAACAAAUGACAAUUUGACCACUAAUACAUUUAAAUUUGCUAAAGUCAAAUACAUUUCAGUGUAUUAAAAUAGAUUUUCAUCUCGGUUUUAAAGGUCUCUGGUGAAAGACCCCAGAUAGAUGUGGAAAUGUUUUGAAGUAAAGUCAGUGCUGGACAUAAGUUCUCAGAUCUGAUGGGUGAACUCACUUAGAUCGAAGCAACGUGGGAUCAAAGCCACUUACAAAAUUGCAGUACACUCUGAAUUUUAGAAUAAAGACAUUCUUAGGGACACAUAAAUAAAAUCACACUGUUCUCUGAAGUUAGACUGUCAUGUAGAUGGUUGGUGCCAAUUAACGUUAUUACUGGUAAAUGUUCUACUGAGGAGGACAGAUUAAACCAUCUGUUUAGACUGUGAGAUAUUCCUUCAGCAGUGAGGUAGGAAUCCUUCCUGCCACCUUUUAACAAAGGACAAUAUCAUUCUGUGUCUUACUGGUAUACACGUUAUGAAAGAUUAUUUCACUUCCUUACACAUGCUCAAUGGGGUUUCCAAGUUUCCAGAAAUGUUUUCUUCUUCCUAAGAAAAUUAGUUCUUAUCCAUCUUAAAUAUUUUCUUACCAAUUCAUUGAGGUUCUCAAAACAAUGAAAUGAAUCAUUGAAGAAAUGCUCCUACACAGACAGAAAAACACCUAUAAUUCUUGCUGAUCAGAGUUCUUUACAGAGGAAAUUCCAGAAUACAUGUUAGUCUGCAGAGUACUCCUAAGAUCUUCUAAAGGGCUAUUAAUUUAAAAAUACAUAAACAAAAUAAUGUCAAUACAAUUUUCCUCAGCCCCUCCUAGAGGCCCCUGGCUCAUUUGUUUGUAAACACCUUUUCCCUGCUGUUCUCAUGUUAGCAUAUCUUCGCAUCGUUACUAUAGUUGGUAUCAUUUUGUUUAUGAUUUUUUUUAUUUUUACACACACAAAAAUAUUUUGCUAUAUCACUAAUUUUUUGUGUUGGCCAAAGCAUUUCACGGAGAAGAACACACACACAUGCACACACACACACACAGAAAUGUCGCCUUUUAUCAUAAACAUGGUAGUUGAAGAAUGAUCAGAAAUCACCUUUCUGUUCUCAGGGAUUUAUAGAAACAUAAUGAAAACCCAAAACAGGAAGCAUUGCUUUUUCUGCAAAGAGGAGAUUCCCAUCGUAUGAGGUCUUGACACAGUUAUUCUAUUUUCUUUGAAGUAAAUGUGAGUUUGUGUGUUUAAUUCCACUCUGGGGCUUUCCUGUUUCUUUUUAUAGAGUGUCUCUACUUCCAUCAAAUAUGGCUUUUCACAUGUUUUUUACUUUAACUGUGGCUUUAUGGGAAUAAGAUUCUUAACCAAGUAUAUACAGACAAUUUCCUGUAAAGUUUCCUGACUUUAUGCAGGUCUCCAUUAUGAACACUGAUUGAUAAAAAUCUACUAAGAGAAAUUGUAGUGCCUGUCAUCCCCGCUUCACCCUAAACUCAUUUCCUGCCAGGCCAAACUCUUGAAAUAGUUCAAGCACAGUAAUCCUAAGAAUACAACAAAUUACGUGCUGAUCUCAUUGGAGAGCAUUAAGUUUGUGGUUUGCCAGGAGUUCAUUUCUAAGUAAUGCUAAGAUAGAUCACUUGCCAAAAAAAAUAAAAAAUAAAAAAAGCUAUUUAAUGUUUCAGUUGAGCAGUGAUUUAUUUUCAAAAAUAUUUCCAGAUGUUCCAAUUCACCUACACUUUAUAAGGCCACAUUUCUAAAAGCAAGUGGCAUUGACUUCCAGCUACUCCAUCAAGUUAUCCACUUUUGUUUAAUUCGUUGAAAGAAAGAUGCCUAUUUAUCUCACCUCAGGGUCUUCUUGGUGCGGGAAGUCCCCAGGGUAGAUGUCCUGAGAGUCAACAGUGAAGCCGCAUGGGGAGACUUGUGCCACAUCUGCUUCCAGUCAGUCCCUCUGCUGAGGGCCACAGGGCCGCUGCUGCUCGUGAGAAUUCCGGCUCUCAUGGCCUCCCACUGCCAAAGAGAAGAAAGGGCCAAACUGCCAAGUGACCUUCAUCAUACCACAUGCUUCUCAGUGUAAACACGUUCCUGGGGACGUAUACUAAAGUCAGAAUGGUAUACCUUUCCUUCAUUCCACUGUCAGAGAGUAUGUAUGCAUUCCUCAGACUGGGGUUUUAAACCUUGGCUCUCGCUCAAAUGUGAAGUAAUCAGAAGUGAUAUGUUGAUAAAUUGUCUACUUGUUUGAUGUAAGCAGGGAAAAGCCAUUUUCCAUGUAGAGUUUGAAAAUCAUACUUAGUUUACUUACACUAAGUACAAAGAAAGUUCCACCCUCCUACUGAAUAGGAGACUUAUUGAACCUGCUGCUUGACAGUUGCUUAAAAAUAUUUUAAUAUUAGCUGUAGGCUCCUAGAAACAAAAAGUGUAUUUAUAAAAAAAUUACAUUUUAGGCCAGGCACGGUGGCUCACACCUGUAAUCCCAGCACUUUGGGAGGCUGAGGCGGGUGGAUCACGAGGUCAGGAGAACAAGAUCAUCCUGGCUAACAUGGUGAAACCCCGUCUCUACUAAAAAUACAAAAAUUAGCUGGACGUGGUGGUGGGUGCCUGUAGUCCCAGCUACUAGGGAGGCUGAGGCAGGAGAAUCGCUUGAACCCAGGAGGUGGAGGUUGCAGUGAGCUGCGAUCACGCCACUGCACUCCAGCCUGGUGACAGAGCUAGACUCUGUCUCCAAAAAAAAAAAAAAAAAAGACAUUUUAUAAAAUGAUCUUUCUCUGCAGAAAGCUGGCUAGUAAUGGAUAUUCAGUGGGUUAAUUAUACUUACUGUAAAUGGGAUUCUAAUUUACUGACAUUAAGUGCACAUUGCUUUUGGAGUAAUAUCCAAUUAAUACAUUACCCAUUAAGAGUCCUCUUCACAGGGCCUGUAAUGCCUACUGCACAGUUCACUGACUUAAGUGUACAGUGUGCACACAUGGGGCUCUGAGAAGCUUCUGCUUAGAUCCCUGUCUGAGCUAAGACUCUGUGGUAGUGUGGAAUGAUGAUCAACACUCCUUUGGACUGGCCAGAUGCGAAUUCAAACCAGCUCUACCUAUCGUUCACUGGCUAUGCGAACUUAAUGUCUCCUCACUUGUAAAAUGCAGAUAUUACAUCUUCUCACCACUGUGAGCAAUAAGGCACUAAACUAGCAUGCUUAAUACGGUCUCUGGAACAUCAUAAGUGCUCAAUAUAGAAUCCUAUUUUUAUUACAAUUAUCAUUUUUCCAUUUGUUUUCAUCAACUACAGACCAUCUUAAUUAUCUAUUGUGGAAUUCUACUGCAUGUCUCCUUGAACAAGAAUUAAUUAUUUACAAAAAAAAAAAAAGAAAGAGAAGCCAGUAUUCUUUUCUCAAGCUAUAUCAUGUAUUCAGUCUUUUUGAAAUGUCAUCUUUUCCUUGAUUACCUCAAGAACAUUAUUUUCUGGGUUGGUUGUGGAUCUUUUUCAUCAGAGACCUUCCACUAUAGGAGAUGUUCUCUCCUGUGUUACCAGAAGUCACAAGUUAGAAAGCCUGGGCACACUGCCCUGCUGGGCGCCUUCGGGAGACAGCUGCACAGGACAGCUCUGAACUGGAUGGGACUUCCUUAGAGCAUUGCUGUGGUUUUUGUCUCUGUUUUACACCCCACCCUGAAUUCUAGCUAGCUCAUGUGCAUGUGCAAACCGCAGAAUAUUGGAUGUAAAAUUGGAAAGCUCACACCGUGAAACUUGCCAGGAAGAGUGUCGCUGUGUUUACAGAAAGUAAAAUGGUGUUGAACAGUGUUGAACAACGAUUUUGAACAAUGGAGCAGCCAUUUUCAGCUCUGGUGCAGUGCAGAAAGCAACUCUUCCUGCCAGACAGACUUAAAACCUCCAGCUUCCUUUUCUGAUUUGCCUUCAGCUAGGCCUGUGUGCUUCUGCUUUUUAUUCAUUUCAUGGGAGUUACGCUUUCCUGCAUCUUUCUGCAGACUCCUUCACAUAGAAAUUUUCCUAGACAAGGUCAUCAUUUGUAAGCCCUCCUUUGUCUUUGGUUUGCAGCUACCUGUUGAAAAUAGGUCCACAUUGGUUUAUUUCUACCACAGAUUUUGGAUUGAGGAAGAUGCAUCAGGUGCAGUCUGGGAAGAGUGACCAUUUGUCCUCGUAUGUCAGACUGCAGCUCCUAUUCCAACAUAAUUAAUAGUGCACUUUUACUUGCUAAGUGAUCUAGUUUAGAAAAUACACUAUAUGAUCACCCUGAAUCUCAGCCCCCAGAAAGGGUGAACAUAAAGUCAUCAAUUUUAUUACUGCUCAUGGCACUGCCCCUCUCCGUAGUGAGGAGACUUGCAGGAAUAGGUUGAUUUGCAUCUUCCUGGAUUUGUUUAUGUUUAUCCUUUUGUUUGUUUCUCCAGUUGGAGUAUGUUGCAAUGAACCGCUCACGGAAUGGAAUCACGGAAGAACUUAUUGGAAGGGGAACCAAGGCAGCUCCAAGGUUUUCCACUCAGGGGCUCGUGGCUGUCCCCAUAGAGUGCUUCUACUGAUACACUGAGGGGCCCAUAAUUUCCACUUUGUAGGUUCAUACGUUUCUAGAUUCUCAGCUCCAAAUUACACAAUCCUGGCACAAAAUUCGACUGGCUGAGUUUGAGUUAAAUAUUUACUGACUCUAGCAGGAGGCAGGGCUCCUUACCACAGACAGGGUGGUUGGCAGCAACCACUGUGUAUUGGGAGAGUUUUCAGAGAAAAGUGAAUUGGAGUCAGGCAGCCAUCCUAAGUGGUGUCUACUCCAUUUAUUUUUUCUUUUUCAAAUUUAUUUAAUUUUAUUUUUUUUUAUUUCAAUAGGUUUUUGGGGAGCAGGUGGUGUUUGAUUACAUGAAUAAGUUCUUUAGUGGUAAUUUCUGAGAUUUUGGUGCACCCAUCACCUAAGCAGUGUACACUGUACCCAUUGUGUAGUCUUUUAUCCCUCACCACCCCCACCCUUUCCCCCAUGUCCUCAAAGUCCAGUGUAUCAUUUUUAUGCCUUUGCAUCCUCAUAGCUUAGUUCCCAUACAUGAGUGAGAACAUACAAUGUUUGGUUUUCCAUUCCUGAGUUGCUUCACUUAGAGUAAUAGUCUCCAAUUCCAUCCAGGUUGCUGCAAAUGCCGUCAUUUUGUUCCUUUUUAUGGCUGAGUAGUAGUACAUGGUAUAUAUAUGCCACAUUUUCUUUAUCCACUUAUUGACUGAUGGGCAUUUGGGCUAGUUCCGUAAUUUUGCAAUUGCAAAUUGUGCUGCUAUAAACGUGUGUGCAAGUAUCUUUUUCAUAUAAUGACUUCUUUUCUUUUGGGUAGAUACCCAAUAGUGGGAUUGCUGGAUCAAAUGGUUGAUUUACUUUUAGUUCUUUAAGGAAUCUUCACACUGUUUUCCACAGUGGUUGUACUAGUUUACAUUCCCACCAACAGUGUAAAAGUGUUCCCUUUUCACCACAUCCACACCAACAUCUAUUAAAGAUUUGUUAUUUUCGCUUAGUCUUGCUUUAACUAUGUGGGCUCUUUUUUGGUUCCAUAUGAAUUUUAGGAUUUUUUUUUUCCUAAUUCUGCGAAGAAUGAUGGUGGCAUUUUGAUGGGAAUUGCAUUGAAUUUGUAGAUUGCUUUUGGCAGUAUGGUCAUUUUCACAAUAUUGAUUCUACACAUUCAUGAGCAUGGGCUGUGUUUCCAUUUGUGUUGUCUAUGAUUUCUGUCAGCAGUGUUUUGUAGUUUUCCUAGUAGAGGUAUUUCACCUCCUUGGUUAGGUAUAUUCCUAAGUAUUUUAAUUUUUUUUGCAGCUAUUGUGAAAGGUGUUGAGUUCUUGAUUUGAUUUUCAGCUUGGUCACUGUUGGUAUGUAACAGAGCUACUGAUACGUGUACAUUAAUUUUAUAUCCUGAAAUUUUGCUGAAUUCAUUUACCAGUUCUAGGAGCUUUUUGAAUGAGUCCCUAGGGUUUCUAAGUAUAUGAUCAUAUCAUCAGCAAACAACGAUGGUUUGACUUUCUCUUUACCAAUUUAGAUGCCCUUUCUUUCUUUCUCUUCUCUGAUUGCUCUGGCUAGAACUUCUAGUACUCUGUUGAAUAGAAAUGGUGAAAGUGGGCAUCCUUGUCUUGUUCCAGUUCUCAGGGGGAAUGCUGUCCACUUUUCCCUGUUUAGUAUAAUGUAGGCUGAGGGUUUGUCAUAGAUGGCUUUUAUUACCUUAAGGUAUGUCCCUUCUAUCCCAAUUUUGCUGAGAUCUUUAAUCAUAAAGUAUUGCUGGAUUUUCUCAAAUGUUUUUUCUUCAUCUAUUGAGAUGAUCAUGUGAUUUUUGUCUUUAAUUCUGUUUAUGUGGUGUAUCACAUUUAUUGACUUAUGUAUGUUAAACCAUCCGUGCAUCCCUGGUAUAAAACCCAAUUGAUCAUGGUGGGUUAUCUUUUUGAUAUGCUGUUGGAUUUGGUUAGCUAGUAUUUUGUUGAGUAUUUUUCCAUCUAUGUUCCUCAGGGAUAUUGGUUUGUAGUUUUCUUUUUUUGUUAUGUCCUUUGCUGGUUUUGGUAUUAGGGUGAUACUGGCUUCAUAGAAUGACUUAGGGAGGACUCCCUCUUUCUCUAUCUUUUAGAACAGUGUUAAUAGGACUGGUACCAAUUCUUCUUUGAAUAUCUGAUAGAAUUCAGCUGUGAAUCCGUCUGGUCCUGGACCUUUUUAAAUUGGCAUUUUAAAAAUUACCAUUUCAAGCUCACUGCUUGUUACUGGUCUGUUCAGACAUUCUAUAUUUUCCUGGUUUAAUCUAGGAGGAUUUUAUAUUUCCAGGAACUUAUCCAUCUCCUCUAGGUUUUCUAGUUUAUGUGUAUAAAGCUGUUCAUAGUAGCCUUGAAUAAUCUUUUGUACUUCUGUGGUGUCAGUUGUAAUAUCUCCUGUUCCAUUUCUAAUUGAGUGUAUUUGGAUCUUCUCUCUUCUUUUCUAAUGGGCUAUCAAUUUUAUUUAUCUUUUCAAAGAACCAGCUUUUUGUUUCAUUUAUCUUUUGUUUUUUUUGUUGUUGUUGUUGUUGUUGUUUCAAUUUCAUUUAGUUCUGCUCUGAUCUUGGUUAUUUAUUUUCUUCUGCUGGGUUUGGGUUUGGAUUUUCUUGUUUCUUCUCUAGUUCUGAGAGACGUGACCUUAGACUGUCAGCUUUUGCUCUUUCAGACUUUUUGAGGUAGGCAUUUAACGCUAUGAACUGAAAGGAAAAUAUCUCGGACCCCCAAAAUCACUAAGGAAAACUCAACUAAGGAAACUGCUUAGGGCAAACCUGCCUCCCAUUCUAUCCAAAGUCACUCCUCUGCUUACUGAGCUAGAUGCAUAUCUGAUUUGCCUCCUCCGGAAAGGCUAAUCAGAAACUUGAAAGAAUGUAAUCCUGUAUGACCUAUCUGUGACCUGGAAGCUCCCUCCCUGCUUCUCGUCUUCCUGCCUUUGCUUCAAGUUGUCUCACCUUCCAGACCAAACGAAUGUACUUCCUACAUGUAUUGAUUGAUGUCUCAUAUCUCCCUAAAUGUAUAAAACCAAGCUGUGCCCUUACCACCAUGGGCACAUGUCAUCAGGACUUCCUGAGGCUGUGUCACGGGAGUGUACUCAACCUUGGCAAAAUAAACUUUCUAAAUUAACUGAGACCUGUCUCAAAUUUUGAGGUUCACAGAACUUUCCUCUUAGCACUGUUUUUGCUGUAUCCCAGAGGUUUUGAUAGGUUGUGUCAUUACUAUCAUUCAUUUCAAAGAAUGUUUUAAUUUUCAUCUUUAUUUCAUUGUUGACCCAAUGAUCAUUCAGGAGCAGGUUAUUUAAUUUCCAUGUAUUUGCAUGGUUUUGAGGGUUCCUUUUGGAGUUGAUUUCGAAUUUUAUUCCACUGUGGUCUGAGAAAUUACUUGAUAUGAUUUUGAUUUUCUUAAAUUUGCCAAGAUUUGUUUUGUGCCUAUCAUAUGGUCUAUCUUGGAGAAUAUUCCAUGUACUGAUGAAUAGAAUGUGUAUUCUGCAGUUGUUGGGUAGUAUGUUCUGUAAAUAUCUGUUAAGUCCAUUUGUUCUAGGGUGUAGUUUAAGUCUAUUGUUUCUUUGUUGGCUUCCUAUCUUGAUGACCUGUGCAGUGCUGUCAGAGGAGUAUUGAAGUCCCCCACUGUUACUGUGCUGCCGUCUAUCUCAUUUCUUAGGUCUAGUAGUAAUUGUUUUAUAAAUUUGAGAGCUCCCAUGUUAGGUGCAUAUAUAUUUAGAAUUGUGGUAUUUUCCUGUUGAACUAAUCCUUUUAUCAUUAUAUAAUGUCCCUCUUUGUCUUUUUUAAUUGCCAUUGCUUUAAAGUUUGUUUUGUCUGAUAUAAGAAUAGCUACUUCUGCUCACUUUUGGAGUCCAUUGACAUGGAAUAUCUUUUUCUACCUCUUUACCUUAAGUUUAUGUGAGUUCUUAGGUGUCAGAUGAGUCUCCUGAAGACAGCAGAAACGUGGUUGGUGGAUUCUUAUCCAUUCUGCAAUUCUGUAUCUUUUAAGUGGAGCAUUCAGGCCAUUUACAUUCAAUGUUAGUAUUGAAAUGUGAGGUACUGUUCUAUUCAUUGUGCUAUUUGUUGUCUGAAUACCUUUUUUUAUCAUGUUAUUGUUAUAUAGGUGAGAUUUAUGCUUUAAGGAGGUUCUAUUUUGGUGUAUUUUGAGGAUUUGUUUCAAGAUUUAGAGCUCCUUUUAGCAGUUCUUGUAGUCCUGGCUUGGUAGUGGGGAAUUCUCUCAGCAUUUGUUUGUCUGGAAAAGAUUGCAUCUUUCCUUCAUUUAUGAAGCUUAGUUUCACUGGAUACAAAUUCUUGACUGAUAAUUGUUUUGUUUAAGGAGGCCAAAAGUAAGACCCCAAUCCCUUCUAACUUGUAGGGUUUCUGCUGAGAAAGCUACUGUUAAUCUGAUAGGUUUUCCUUUAUAGGUUACCUGAUGCUUUUGCCUCACAGCUCUUAAGAUUCUUCCCUUUGUCUUGACUUUACGUAACCUGAUGACUAUGUGCCUAGGCAAUUAUCUUUUUGUGAUGAAUUUCCCAGGUGUUCUUUGAGCUUCUUGUAUUUGAAUAUCUAGAUUUCUAGCAAGGCCAGGCAACUUUUCCUCACUUAUUCCCUCAAAUAUGUUUUCCAAACUUUUAGAUUUCUCUUUUUCUUCAGGAACACCAAUUAUUCUUAGGUUUGGAUGUUUAACAUAGUCCCAAACUUUUUGGAGGCUUUGUUCAUUUUCUUAAAUUCCUUUUUCUUUGUCUUUGAUGGGUUAGGUUAAUUUGAAAGCCUUGUCUUUGAGCACUGAAGUUCUUUCUUCUGCUUGUUCAACUCCAUUUAUUUUUUCAAGUUGAGGUCUCACUCCGUCACCCAGGCUGGAGUCCAAUGGUACAAUCACAGCUCAUUGCAGCCUUGAACUCCUGGGCUCAAGCAGUCCUUCCACCUCAGCCUCCUGAGUAGUCUACUCCAUUUUUAUCUGUGCUAUCUCAGUUACUUUUUUUUUGUUUUUUUGAGAUGGAGUUUCACUCUUGUUGCCCAGGCUGGAGAGCAAUGGCAUGAUCUCAGCUCACUGCAACCUCCACCUUCCAGGUUCAAGCAAUUCUCCUGCCCCAGCCUCCCAAGUAGCUGGGAUUACAGGCACCUGCCACCACGCCCAGCUAAUUUUUGUAUUUUUUAGUAGAGACGGGUUUUCACCAUGUUGGCCAGGCUAGUCUCGAACUCCUGACCUCAGGCUAUCCGCCUGUCUCGGCCUCCUAAAGUGCGGGGAUUACAGGAGUGAGACACCAUGCCCGGCCAGUUACAUUUUUAUAAUUGGAACUAUUUUUGCAAUAUGAAGAGUUUAUUGUCUCAAUAUUUCCCUUGACCCUCUCCCACAGUCAUGCCCUGGCCACCUGUGCUCAUUACCUUAAGAACAGGCAUGAGGUAUCAAAAAUGAGAGAAAAAAAUGGACCCUUAAGGAGAGGAAAGUUCUUAUGGGAUGGUAAGAAAAGUAUUAACAGCAAGGAUUCUCGACCAAGAUUAUUGUUCCUUAAAUUAGGGAGAUAUAUAGAGUUGAAAGGAAACUUUGAGAUGAAAAUAUCAGUAGGACCAAGAAAGAGUGACCUCGCACACUCCUUCCCAGACCAUGCCCCAGGGGGAAGACAGAAACUCCAGGCUGAUUUGUGGAUCUGAGACAUUCAGUGUUUUCUGGAGAGACAGCAAGAUCCAGGAAGAGCAGAAUAAUCCCCAAGCACACUGGAGCAGUAUGGGAGUGGCAGAGAGAACCACUAAACCCCAAAAGACCAUGCAGGUGGGGAAGAGGGAAGGCCCCAUACACAACUAACUGCCUAGGCAAUGGACAUGCCACCAGCUGCCUAGAACACAGCAGAUAAUGAAUCAAUCAAUCAAUACCUCCAUUAAUAAGUGUCAUUGAGGGCUAAAUCAAAUAGUCACCUGUGACACUGUGGUACCUAGUAAACUCCAUAGAAUUUAAGCAGAAUCCUGAGGAAACCAGGAUUAAAAUGCUGCCAUCCUGAAUUGAAAAAGAAAAACAAAAAUUUUCAUUUCUCGCAUGGUCAAAGCUGUGAACUGAGAUUUACACUUGCAAUGCUUAUGUGUGAAAACUGAAUUACACACAGUAACUUUUACUGCUCUGUGAGACUGUUUAUAUGGAAUGGGAUUUAUUCAUUUCUUGACAGUUUGAGCACCUUCACCAUCAAUACUAACUAUACAUACAUACAAAUGUAGCUUUUGAGGAAAUGGAUAGAAUUUUGAAAACAUUGACAUUGGUGUUUUGGGAAGUUUUUGCUAUUUUUACUUUCUUUCAGUAUUUUUUUCUUCUAACUUUUAUUUUAGGUUCAGAGUUACGAGUGCAGGUUUGUUACAUGAGUAAAUUGCAUGUCACUGGGGUUUGGUGUAUGAAUUAUUUCAUCAUCCAGGUAGUGAGCAUAGUACCCCAUAGGUAGUUUUUCAGUUCUCCCCAUCCUCUCACCCUCCACCCUUAAGCAGGCCGCAGUGUCUACUGUUCCCUUCUUUGUGUCUAUGUGUACUCAAUGUUUAGAUCCUACUUACAAGUAAGAAUAUACAAUGUGUUUUUUAAAAGGAAUCACAUUAUUUACUUUUCCUUCUUGUUUGGAGUAAUAAAUACUAUUUUCCUUUAUUAAAAAGUGAUAUGUGUCAUGGCUGGGCACAGUGGCUCACAACUACAAUUCCAGCACUUUGGAGGCUGAAGUGGGAGGAUCACUUGAGGAGUUUGAGACCAGCCUGGGCAACAUAGCAACACUCUGUCUCUAUAAAAACUAAAAAAAUUUAAGUGGUGGUAUGCGUCUGUAGUUCCAGCUACUUGGGAGGCUGAGGUAGGAGGAUCACUUGAGCCCAAGAGGUUUAGGCCACAGUGAACCAUGAUCUGUCUACCACACUCCAGCCUAGGCAAUAGAGUGAAACUCAGUUAAAAAAAAAAAAAGUGGUAUGAGUCUCUUGUAGAAAAUUCAGAUGAAGCAAAGACAUUUUAAAUUAUCUAAUUUUAUGAUUCAGAAAUACUGUUGUUAAGAAAUUGGUAUCUUUAUCUGUAAUUAUUAAAUAUAUCAUGCUUAAUAUUUGAUCAUCUAUAUUUUCUGUAUUUUCCAUUUCUUUUAGACAUUUUAAUCAAUUAUUUAUAAUUAUAUGGAGUAUUUACUUAUAAUUUGUAUUUUCAAGUAUCUUAUAAUGUUAUUUUUUUAACCCCUCAACUAGUUUUAUUACCAAAAUAAAAACUGUAGCAGCUACACACAUUUUCUUCCUUUCUUAUUGUACAUAACACUGAGUGUUGGUGGUUAAUUUUACAACCUAGCCUUUAGAUUAUAGAAUGUCCAAGAUACAAUGGUGACUAAAAGAGACGAGGACUUAACAUCACCCUGGGAUGAAUGCAGUGGCUGCAGCCGCCUCCUCGCAGGGGUCCACUCUGUGCUCCCUGCUUUGGGGAAAGAGUGAACUUGUAUUCAUCUGUAUGAGAAAUAUAGUUGCAUUCUGUUAGGAAGAAGUGUUUAUAAUGUUAUUUUAAAAUAUAAUUUAAAUAUUUGUCAUGGUAAAAUUUGGGAAAUAAACACAAAUAUAAACAUACAACAAAUAACUUGUAAUACCAUCACAGAGAGAGAACAAUUGUUAACAUUUUAGUGUUUUCAUUUCAGGUCUUUGUGUUUACACAUACAUCACACAUGUACAAAUUGAGAUUAUAUGAUAUAUUAUAUUAUAAUUUGUAAACUUAAAAAUUCUCUUUACAUAUAUGCGCUUUCAUUUUUUUCUUUACUAGAUUUGUUACAAAACUUUCAGUCAUCAUAUAAAAUAAAUUUUUAUUAAUUAUUACAUAUAUUGUGUUUAUUUGAAUUAUUUCUAGUUUAGGUUUAUUAUGUUCUUGUUCCUGUUCUCUUAAAAAUGUCUUUGUUGACACUUGUUUCUUGGUUGGGCAGUUUAUUUAUUUUCCUCCUUUUAUUCAGAAUAAUAAAGACAUCUAUGACUGUGGCAAAGUGAAAGCUAAAGAGUAUGUUAUUUUCUCAUUAUUUUUAUUUUUCCUCCUUAAUUCAAUAGUUAUUUGAGAUAUUGGAUUUUAAAAUAGAUACACAAGUUAAUAUUUUUAAAGUGGCAUUUUUUAUGAUUCUAACACUUUGGAGAGAAAUAUGAAAGCACAAUAAAAGUAAAAAUUAACUGUAUUCCAUAAUACAGCAAUAACUGUUAUCAAUAUUUAGUCACAUAUACUUUUCAUUGUUACCAGCAUAUGUAAAAUACAUUGAAAUGAGAUAAUAUUGUAUAUAUUGCUUUGUGAAAUGCCUUUUUCUGCUUCAUAACACGGCAUGAAUAUUUCACCACAGUAUAAUUUUAUAAUGUUCCUGUAGAAUCUUACCAUAUUGAAUGCUUGGAACAUUUAUUCCCUUUUUUCCUAUAGCAGACACUCUUGUACAUAAAAUCAUUAUAGAUAGAUCUGAUUAGUUCUCCAGGAAAACUCCUGAAAUUGAAUUAUUGGGUCAACUUUUAAGGGCAUUUUAAGGCUUUUGAUUUAUAGUAGUAAUUAGUUCUACAGAAAAGUCACCCAAACUUACACUUCCAUCAGUAGUAAAUAAAAGGUCCUUUUCAUACUAUUUCUAUUUCUUUUUUAUGAGUAACUUCACGUUUCUAUUCAUUAAACAAUCAUUGAUUCCAUUUUUUUCUUAUUUACUUGUUACAGCUUUUACAAGUUUAUUAUCCCUUUGUGGACCAUGUUGUUUCUUUUUUUCUUUUUUUUUUUUGUCAUUUACCUUUUAAAUUUGCCUUCGCUUGCUUUUUCUAUUUAAACGUUUAUUUCUUUCCAAUUUUGUUGCAUUUUGGUUAUUUAUAAAUAUUAUACAAGUGAUCAUUGCUAAAGUAUACAUGAGUGUAGCUGUCUCUUGUGUUUAUUCUAUCUGAUUUUUUCAUGGUUAUCUCCCUGUUGCCUUGAGAAAGACAGUUGUCACUUAGUUCUCUGGCAGUGUUCUUUCCUGUUCUUUGUUAAUUCCAUAAGAGCCCUUGCAUCAAUUCAUUUUCCAACUCUCCCUCUUACUUGUUCCAGCAAGUAAAAUCAAAUUGGUGUUUAUACAAUGAAUAAACCAAAGGUAACUGAGAUCAAAGUUUUCUGGAAGAUGAUUGAUAAGGGGACUUUGGUGUAAUACUUGUAUUAAAAAGUAAAUAUUUAAUUGGAAAGCAAUACAUUAAAAGGACACUAUGUAUUUUUAAUUAACUUCAUUCUGUUGCAAUUCCAUUCUAUUUCCCUCUGCAAUUAUACUUUCUUCUGAGUCAUCUACUUCUCUUUCUCUCUCUUUGUCAGAUCAUUCCCAUAUACAACCAUGGGCUGGUGUCUCCAAUUCUAAAAUGAACAAACAAGCAAAACACAAGCUAAUAAUACAUAAAUUAACCUCCCUUUGUUCCGCAUGAGCUUGUGCCUAUUUCUACGCAGUCCUUCAAUUCAAAACGGCUGGCUAGUGUUGUCAGGAGCUGCCAUUUCCACUUCCUCUCAUCACAUUUCCUCUGCUAACAUUUCUAGUCACACUGUUUCCCCAUUUCUUCACUGAGGCAGCUCUUGUGGAGGUCACCAAUGUGCCCCGUUUUGUUAUAUCCAGUGGUCACUUCCCUGUUCUGAUUUCACUUGCUCUUUCAGCAGCAGCAGACAAGGACGGCCACCACUUCCUUCUGCUCUUGAUUUCAGUGGUGCCACUCCCUCCUGAUUUCCUCCUAUCCCUUGGGCUGUAUCUCCAUAGCCUCCUUUUUUGGAUCAUCUUUUUCUGCUUGGCCUGGAAAUACUGGGAAACUCUAAAAUUAAUACUGGACUCAUUUUCUUCCCUAUCUACAUAAUCUCCCUAUAAGACUUUAUCCUGUCCUGUGGAUUAAAAUUCUAUGUAAGGGCUUUUCAAUGUCUGUUUUCUUUCACUCAGCAAAAUGUUUUUGAAAGUCAUCCUUGGAAUUGCAUGCCGUACUAGUUUGCUUGUUUCAUGUUUAUUGCUGUGUAGUAUUACAUUAUGUGACUAUACCACAAAUGGUAUAUUUAUUCACCUCUUGGUGGACAUUAGGGUCAUGCUUGGUUUUGGCUACUAUAAGUAAAGCUACAAUGCACAUUCAAGUUAUAUGCAUCUCUAUAUGGAAAUAGUUUUCAUUUUGGGGGCAGUGAGGGAAUGCUUUGGUGAGGAAUUGCUGCAUCCUUUGACAAGUGUAUGUUUAACUUUAGGAGAAACAGCCAAAAUAUUUUCCAAAGCAGUUGUACCAUUUCACAUUCCCACCUGCCAUGUAUGAAGUUCCACUUGCUCUACAUGCUUGCUAUUAUCUGUUAUUGCUUGAUUUUUUUAAAAAGAGCCUUUCUAAUGGAUCAGUCAUGAUUUUAAUUUGUGUUUUCUGAUGAGUAAUGUUCUUAAACACCUUUUUGUGUACUUACUGGGGAAAUGGCCAAAUUUGUUAGGUUAUUUUUCUAUUAUUGAGUUGCAAGACUGGUUUGUAUAGUCUGUAUAUAUAUCCUUUAUCAGAUAUAUGUGCUGGGAAUAAUUUUUUCCAGUUUAUACCAGGCUCUAUCCCUCUAUCUAAGGAUGCAACUUCUCUACAAAUAGCCGACUGUACAGGAUUCAGCUUCUUUCUGGAUUCAAGUAGCCACACUCUCAUCCUCCCUUCAGGUCUACACAUGAUACAAGCCAGGCUGCCUCUCACUAGGGAACACUGCACCAAUAUAUACCAUUCUCCUACACACACGUUUGUGUGCAGGAGAUAUUUCUUUUGAAAGUAAACACUCCUUUAGCCAUAUUUCUCCUUAUGGUCCCUUUUCCUCUAUUCUUUUCCCUUUUCCUCUGUUCUUUUCUCUUUUUUUCUUUCUUCUUCCUUCUUCUUUCCUUCCUUUCUUCUUUUCUUCCUUCCUUCCUUUCAUUCUUUCUGAUUGAAAGAAUCUUCCCCCACUGGAAUAUAAACAUUAUGAAAGAACUGACCCAUGAGUCUUAAAAGUGAUCGCUGUAUCUUUUUAAAAAGGCUUGCUAAAUAAAUAUUUGUUGAAUGAAUAAACGUGUGAAUAAAGAGCAAAUUUUUUUCCAGGAAAAAAGCCUAGUUUGAUUCCAGGUUGAUAGAAAGUUUUAAUAAACCUAAAGAAAAAUAUAAAAGGAGACUUUCUCCUUCUACAAACCAGGCCUUUAGGACAGCUUCAUCAGCAGGGGGAGUGAGCAAGAGACUGGGCAGCACCACAGAAAGCUUCUGCAAAGCUUCUCUAAACACCAAUGCCCAGGGUUCACACCAGGCACACUGAGGCAGGACCCCUGCAAGUAGGUUCUAGGAAUCUCUGCUUUUCAAAAACUCUCCAGGUAAUUCUAGCACAGUGAGUUGCUCCUCCACGCAGCCUCCGCUGCUGCUUCCUCUGGCUUCACAUCACACCACCAUAAGCCACAUUUCUCUGCAGGUCAAAGAUGAAGGUCAGUAUGGCAUGGUAAGGCCACACUGAAUGUUUAUAAAAAAUAUCUACUACUAUUUGUAUAAUGUUUCUUUCAGUCUUGGUCCUUGGAAAACAAGUAUCAGUCUGUCAUUGUAUUCAAAGGCAGAAUUCAGUCUUAAAUUUUGGCAAGAAGUUCAAAACUUGAUAAUACUCAGUUAUAAUCUAAACAAUUAAUUCACAGUGAUCCUCAAGCAAAAUGAAUUGUUGUUACCUCAUCCUGGUUAAGAAACAUUAUAAGGGAUUCUAUUAUGAUGCAAAUUACUCCUUUAAAGUCUGUUUCCUUACAGAAAUAAGCCUGUUUUGCCACUCCUAUUCAACAUAGUACUGGAAGUCCUGGCCAGAGCAAUCAGGCAAGAGAACGAAAUAAAAGGCAUUCAAAUAGGAAGCGAGGAAGUCAAAUUAUCUCUGUUCACAGAUGGCAUGAUUCCAUAUCUAGAAAACCCCAUAGUCCAGGCCCAAAAGCUUCUUAAGGCUGAUAAACAACUUCAGCAAAGUUUCAGAAUAUAAAAUUAAUGUACAAAAAUAAGUAGUAUUCCUGUCCAGCAACAACAUCCAACAUGAAAGCCAAGUUAAGAACACAAGUCCAGUCAUAGUUGCCACAAAAACAAUAAAAUACCUAAGAAUACAGCUAACCGGGGAGGUGAAAGAUCUCUACAAUGAGAACUACAAAAUACUGCUCAAAGAAAUCAGAGGUGACACAAACAAAUGGAAAACAUUCCCUGCUCACAGACAGAAAGAGUCAAUAUUGUUAAAAUGGCCAUACUACUCAAAGUAGUUUACAGAUUCAAUGCUACUCCUAUCAAACUCCAAUUACCUUCUUCACAGAAUUAGAAAAACUAUUUUAAAAUUCAUAUUAAACCAAAAAAGAGCUCAAAUAGCCAAGGCAAUCAUAAGCAAAGAGAACAAAACUAGAGGCAUCAUGUUACCUGACUUCCAGCUAUACUACAGGGCUACAGUAACCAAAACAGCAUGGUACUGGUAUAAAAACAGACACAUAGACCAAUGGAAAAGAACAGAGAACCCAGAAAUAAUGCCAUGAAUGUACAGCCAUCUGAUCUUCAAUAAAGUUGACAAAAACAAGCAGUGAAGAAAGGACUCCUUGUUCAAUGUUGGGAUAACUGGCUAGACAUAUGCAGAAAAUUGAAACUGGACCCCUUCCUUAUACUGUAUUCAAAAAUCAACUCAAGAUGGAGUAAAGACUUAAAUGUAAAACCUAAAACUAUAAAAACACUGGAAGAUAACCUAGAAAAUACCAUUCUGGAUAAGGGAUUUUAUCACAAAGAUGCCAAAAGCAACUGCAACAAAAACAAAAAUUGGCAAAUGGGACCCAGUUCAUCAAAAGAGCUUUUCUGUAUAGCAAAGGAAACUAUCAACAGAGUGAACAGACAACCUACAGAAUGGGAGAAAAUAUUUUCAAACUAUGCAUCUGACAAAAGUCUAAUAUCAAGAAUCUAUAAGGAGCUUAAACAAAUCAACAAGCAAAAAACAACCCCAUGAAAAACUGGGCAAAGGACAUGAACAGACACUUUUCAAAAGAAGACAUACAAGUGGUCAAGAAACAUGAAAAAAAUGCUCAACAUCACUAAUUAUUAGAGAAAUGCAAGUCAAAACUACAAUGAAAUACCAUCUCACACCAGUCAGAAUGGCUAUUAAAACAUUAAAAAAAUAACAGAUGCAGGUGAGCUUGUGAAGAAAAGGGAAUGCUUACAAACAGCUGGUGGGAACAUAAACUAGUUCAGCCAUUGUGGAAAGCAGUUUGGUGAUUUCUCAAAGAACUCAAAGCAGAAUUACCAUUCAACCCAGUAAUCCCAUUAUUGGGUAUAUAUCCAAAAAAUAUAAAUCAUUCCAUUAUAAAGAUAGAUGCAUGCAUUUGUUCAUCACAACACUAUUUACAAUAGCAAAGACAUGGAAUAAACCUACAUGCUCAUCCGUGGUAGACUAGAUAAAUAAAAUGUGAUACAUAUACACCAUGGAAUACUAUGCAGCUAUAAAAAGGAAUGAGAUCAUGUUCUUUGUUGGAACAUGGAUGGAGCUGGAGGCCAUAAUUCUAAACAAACUAAAACAGGAAGUGAAAACCAAAUACCAUAUGUUCUCGCUUAUAAGUGGGAGCUAAACGCUGACUACACAUGGACACAAAAAAGGGAACAACAGACCCAGGAGCCUACUUGAGAGUGGAGGGGCAGAGGAGGGUGAGGAUUAAAAAAUUACCUAUCGGGUACUAUGCUUAUUACCUGGAUGGUCAAAUAAUCUGUACAUCAAACCCCCAUGACACAAGUUUUCCUUUGUAACAUGAACCUAAAAUAAAAGUAAAAUAAAACUAACUCAUAUAAACAAGUUUAAAAAAAUGAGCCUGUUUUGAAGGAACUAGUUCCAAGUUCUUUACACACUGCUGCCAUCAUAAAGCAUGAGAGAACGUAGCCUUCUUAUUGAAGGAAAACUGAAUGCCGAGUGUUGCUCCAUUAAUCGACAGGCCUUCCCAAUUCAAUUCUACAUGACCACAAACAUGAUUCUCCAAUUUGUCCUUUUUCUUCACAUCUUCGCUUGCAUUCUAACUACCUAGAUUAUUCAAAGAAACCUCUUAUCCCUUUAAAUGAUUUCAGUUUCUAUGACAUUCUGAAUUCUCCCUGCUGUGAAUUAAAACUUGCCGAAGCAGAGCUCCAUGCAUGUUCCUCUCACACUUCAACACUCUCGACCUGUUUUACAAUGUCAUCUACCUUCCCAUCCUCCAAAUGCAUUUUACAAAUUUCAACCUCAGUGCUUUUGUUUUCAAAUAUUCCUGGCUUGUUCAUUAGUAGUUCCAAAAUUUCUAUAAAGGAGAGACUCUGGGACAGUUCUGUGACUGGAAAGACUGAGGGUUGCUAGCUGGGGACUUUUGUGAAGAUGGCAUGUUGGUUUUAUUUAUACCGCAGUUCAGUUUUUUGGAGGGGGAAGUUGUGGGUAUUAUGAUUAUGUAGUGUAGGGAUGGGGAUGUUAAAUUCUUGGCUACCAAUUUUUUAAAUCUCCCAAAAUGCACUUCUUCAUCCCAUGACCUGUCCAAUGUGUACUCAUUUUAUAGAAUGGGCCUCAUGUCUGAACUCCUUAAAAAUUACUCUUGACAAUCUCUGGUAACUUUCUUAAUGCUUUUUGUUUUAGUCCCACAUUAAUUAUACAUGAAAAUAUGUCUGGGCUCUCCAACUACAGUCCAACUGGACUGAGCACAAGAAAUACAUCUGAACUGAAGUAUCUAUUUAGCAUUUAACAUGGUUCUGUUAAAGUAGCAGGCAGCUAACUGACAUUUUUUGUCCAUUCACUUAGAUAACUAAAAUUGUAAUGGAAAUAAAUAAGUAUGUGAAAGAAAGUAGUGAUUGUCCAAAAGUGUCUUGAAGACAUUUUGAGUCAGAAGACAUGGGUGCAAUUCUACCACUGUGACCUUUGCAGAGUGCUAUAGUUUAGAUGUUUUGUCUCUCCCAAUCUCAUGUUGAAAUGUGAUCUCCAAUGUUGGAGGUGGGACCUGGCGGGAGGUGUUUUGAUCAUGGGGGUAAAUCCCUCAUGAAUGGCUUGGUGCCAUCUUUGAGUUCUCACACUAUGAGUUCACAAAAGAUCUGAUUGUUCAAAAGAGCCUGGAACUACCUCCUCUCUCUUUUGUUUCUUCUCUUGCAAUGUGACACACUGGUUCCCCUUUGCCUUCUGCCAUGAUUGGAAGCUUCCUGAGAUCUCAGCAAAAGCAGAUGCUAGUGCCAUGCUUCCUGUACAGCCUGCAGAACCGUGAGCCAAAUAAACCUCUUUUCUCUAUAAAUUACUCAGCCUCAGAUAUUUCUUUAUAGUAACACAAAAAUGGACUCAUACACUGAGUUAGCCACAUUUAUUCCCAGUUUUCCAAUGUUUGUGAGCCAUACGUGUGAUAAGGAGUUAAUUUCCAAAAUACUUAAGAAACAUAUUUGCUACAAUAUUUGCUAAAACUCAAUAGCAAAAAAAAAAAAAAAAAAAAAAAAAAACAACCUGGUAGCACAAUUUUUAAAUGAGCUAAAGACCUGAAUAGACAUUUCUUCAAGAAAACAUACAAAUGGCCAACUUGUAUAUGAAAAGUUGCUCAGUGUCACUAAUCACGAAGAAAUUGCAAAUCAAAACCACAAUGUGAGAUAUCACCCUACUCCUGUUAAGAUGUCUAUUAUCAAAAAAACAAAGACAACAAAUGUCGGUGAGGAUACAGAGAAAUUGAAUCCCUUGUACAUAGUUGGUGGGCAUGUAAAAUUGUGCAGCCAUAAUGAAAAACAGUAUUGAAGUGCCUCAAAAAAUUAAAAAUAGAGCUAACAUAUGAUCCAACAGUUCAACUUCUGGGUAUUUAUUCAAAAGGAUUGAAAUAAGGAUCUUGAAGAGAAAUUAAUACUCCCACGUUCAUUGCAGCAUUAUUAACAAUAGUCAAGAUGUAGAAACAACCUAAAUAUUCAUUGGAAGGUAAACGAAUCAAGAAAGUUUGGUGUAUACAUUCAGUGGAAUACUAUUCAGCCUUAGAAAAGAAGGACAUUCCGCAACAUGUGAAAACAUGGAUGAACUUUGAGGACAUUAUGCUAAGUCAGUCACAGAAAGGUAAAUACUGCAUGAUUUCACUUACAUAAGGAAUCUAAAACUGUCAAUUUCAUAAAAGCAGAGAGUAGAAUGGUGUUUGCUAGGGGCUGGAGGGAGAGGAGAAGGGGAAGUUACAGUCCAAUGGAUAUAAAAUUGCAGUUUUGUGAAAUCAAUAAGUUAUAGAGAUCUGAUGUACAGCGUCAUGCCUACAGUUAACAAUACUGUAUUGUACACUUGAAAUCUGUUAAGAAGGUAAAUCUCAUGUUAAGUGUUCUUAUCACAAAUGAAAAAUAAAGGGGAAUGAGGAAGACCUUUUCAAAAGUCUGGAAUGAGGAUAAAAUGAGACUAUGAAUGGGAAAAUACUGUGUAAACUGUAAAACUUUACACAAAUGUUAAUUCAUAAAGCAGCCAGGACCAUCUUUUUAAAUCUAAUAAUCAGGUUGUCUCAUUCGUAAGCUUAAAACUCUUCAAACAUAAUAUUUUGCAAUAAUAAAAGGCUCUCUCUAGCCUCAUCUGUCUUUCAUCACCACACACACACAUGCAUGCACACACAUGCAUGCACACACACACGUACACAUACAUGCACACGGGUAUUUCAGCAGUUUAGCCUCCCUUCCAUUCUUGUAAUAUUUCAAGUCCCUUCUAUCCCCGAGUCUUUCUUAUCCUUCAGCUCUUAGAUCAAACACAACCUCUACAGAGACCUUUCCAGACCAUCCUAUCUGAAUAACCUUCUCCCACCCCUUGCCUACUCAUUCAUCAUCUUGUUUAUUACUACCUAAUGCCACACUUUGAAAUCAUCUUGCUCAAUUUUUUUUGUUUGUUUUCUUAUUCAUCAUCGCUCCUGGCUCCGUGGGUUCAGGGUGUGGCCUGUCUCUCUUCUGUCCCCAGUAUCAGAGCAGAAUCUGGUACAUGGUAGACACUCAGUACCUGCGUGUAAAAAUUGAAUGAGGAUGUUAAGUGUUCCCACCACAAAAAUGACAACUAUGUGAGAUAAUGCAAGCUAGAUUUAGCCAUUCCACAAUGUAUAUAUACAGUAGUCCCUACUUAUCCAUUCCAAGAGGAUACAUUCCAAGACCCUCAGUAAAUGCCUGAAACCAUGCAUAGUACCAAACCCUACAUAUACUUGCGAAAGGAAAACCAAAACUUAGGAACCUAAUUUCACUCUGCUAAAAGAAAAUAUUAAGCUGAAAGCUGAGUCAUGCAAGAAGCUGCUUUUCCUUUUAUUCCCAAGCAGAGUAGUACAGAUAAAAGGUUAAACAUCUCCACAGGUAGCUACUGUACCCUCACCUUAUCUUAAGUGAAGCGCCGAUUUACUGAGAGCUAGAAGAACACAUAAUAGGCUAUUCCCCUACCUGCUCCUUUUCUCUUGCAACACAUGGAUUCAGUCAUGUAACCACAACUUCCCUCUUUCCCCUUUAAAUACCAAAGCCCUCAGAAUCGUCUUUGGAGCAAGGCACAGACCUCCCUUGCGGGCAUUUCCUUAACCUUGGCAAAAUUAACUUCUGAAUUGAUGGAGACCUUUCUCAGAUACUUUUUGGUUUACACACUAUACUUGGCAGUCAGUCUGAUCACCAAGACAGCUAAGUGACUAAUGGGCAGGUAGUGUAUAACAGCCCAGGUACGCCGGACAAAGGGAUGAUUCACAUCCUGGGUGUGAUGGACGGGACAGUAUGAUAUUUCAUCACACUACUGAGAAUGGCACACAAUUUAAAACUGAUUCUUAAUUUCUGGAAUUUUCCAUCUAACACUUUUGGACCAUGGUUGACCACAAGUAACUGAGACCGCAGAAAGGAAACUGCAGAUAAGGGAAGACUACUGUACUUCAGAACAUCAUGUUGUUCAUAAUAAAUACAAACAAUUUUUCUGUCAACUAAAAAAUAAAUAAAAAUAAAAUGUUUACUACCAUAAAAAGAAAAUGUGAUAUACACAUAUAAUGGAAUAUUAUUCAGCCUUUACACGGAAGGAAAUUCUAACACAUUUCUGCAACAUGGGUAAACCUUGAAGACAUUAGGCUGAAUUAAGUGCACCAUUUGAUUCAAUACAUAUUCUUUUAAAAAAUCUAUUCCACGUCCUCUAAAAUAUACCAUACAACUUUCAAACACUGAAAAAAUACACAAAAAAUAUAAAGUAGAAAAGGUGUUAGGAGUUAUCUUAGUGAGUAUUUUUACAAAACAGUAGUUAAAAGAUUAUAGCAGAUGGAAAUAAAGUAAACAAAAUAGCAUUAAAGCAUUUAAACAUCAUUAAAAAGAUUAAAUCAUUGUUGGUUUUAAAAUACACCUAUCCUCUUUCUCUUUUCAUAAUAUGUACCUCAAAAAUACAAUAAAAUACUAGUAGAAAUUAUCUCUAGAAGUUGAUAUCACAGAAAUUAUUUUUGCCUUGAGUUUUUUGCGAUGAUAAUGUAUUACUCUUAAAAUCAGAGAAGCUGUAAUGCCAUUUCAAACAAAGUAGAAAAGCCUCCCCAUUCCCUGCCCCACCACUUCCCUCUUGCAAUGCGGUUUUUCAAUAGAAGCGCAGAGUAGAGGAAGGUGAUCCUAAGGAUUCUCCUCCUAAGAGGGCCAGGACUGCACCUCGCUGGCCUGGGGUUCACACAGGACUGGUCCUGGAGCCCUGCCUGCUCCAUCUGGGGGAGGAAGCCCAGGACUGGGCUGCAGGUUUGUGAAUAGGGGCACCGAGGCGUGCAGCGACGCUGAGUGACUCUUCCAUAAUGCAGGGCUGAGUGGGCAGCAGGCCAGACGUGGGUCAGGGAGCGUUCAUCCCGAACCGUGUCCAGCCCUGGCCUCGCCGGCCCAAGUCGCCCGCCCUGUGCAGCCAGGGGACGGCGACGAGGCUGAAGUGCCGCUUGUUUCCGAGCCUGGAUGAGUAAUGACGCGUUUCUUUUCCAGAAGCAACGUAAAUCUGGCUUGAGGCUGGCACAACACAGCAGGAGCAGUGCAGGCUGGUGGCCAGGCGCCCGGCCCUGCGGCUGCCGAAUCUUCGCGAAGCCUGCAUCCGAGGCGCGCACUGGUUCCAGGCCCUGCGGCCAUGCGAGGGAAGCCGCAGCGGUGGCCGCAGCGGUGGCGGCUCCUAGAGCGGUGCGGGCUGGUGCUGGCGGCAGGUGGGAUGGAGGGGGGUGGGCUCUUCAUGUCUCUCAACCCCUGAUUAGAAUCCGUGUCGAUUUCUGGACACGCGGGCCGAGAGGAGCUGAGAUCCGGCCGGCAUUUCUCAGCCAUGAGUUCUUUUUUGUUUGUUUGUCUUUGUUUGUGUUUGUUUUGAGACGGAGUCUUGCUCUGUCCCCAGGCUGGAGUGCAAUGGCGCGAUCUCGGCUCAGUGCAACCUUCGCCUCCCGGGUUCAAGCGAUUCUCCUGCCUCAGCCUCCUGAGUAGCUGGGAUUACAGGCGCCUGCCACCACGCCCAGCUAAUUUUUGUAUUUUUAGUUGAGAUGGGGUUUCGCUAUGUUGGCCAGGCUGGUCUCGAACUCCUGACCUCGUGAUCCGCCUGCCUCGGCCUCCCAAAGUGCUGGGACUACAGGCAUGAGUAACCGCGCUUGGCAACCAUGGGUUCAAAGCAGGCGCAGGGAAGCUUCCGGAGGGUGCCUGGACGGCAGCUAAAUGGUUGGGGCCUGGCUCCUGGCUGACCCUGUCUCAUCCCGGGUGGCCGGCUCCCACCCGUUUCUACAGGGCCGGCCUCCUGCCCUAGGAUUCUGACUCUGCAGGCUUCCUAGCCCAGGAUUCCUUUUUUUUUUUUUUUUUUUUUUUGAGACAGAGUCUCACUCUGUCGCCCAGGCUGGAGCGCAGUGGUGCGAUCUCGGCUCACCGGUUUCACCGUGUUAACCAGGAUGGUCUUGGUCUCCCGACCUCGUGAUCCGCCCACCUCGGCCUCCCAAAGUGCUGGGAUUACAGGCUUGAACCGCCGCGCCCGGCCCCGAGCCCACGAUUCUAACACGCAGUGGAGGCUGAGAGCCUUGGCUGGGGCGCCCUAGCGUCAAGCUCACCAUGUGGCCUUUGCGGCACGUCUGCUUCUCUCUGCCUGGACCGCUCGGGUUUGAAGGCCCAGGGCGGGCCCCAGACGUCUCAGGGGCCAUAGAGGCGCUGCUUCCGGAACUGCUGGAAGAGGAUGACCAACUGCUGCUGCCAGGUCGAAGCGUCCUUGCGGAGGGACCCUACCAGGAAGGACAGGGAGCCACAGCCCUAGUCCCCUCGGCUCUCCUCCCGCCUCCCAGUGCCUGGUCCAGUGUCCCAGUGGCGGAAGCGAACAGGGACCAAUCCGCAAAGGAGAAAUUGAGUUGGCAGUGACAUUGCCGGAAAAUCACUACUGCGGAGUGCGGAGAGGUGGUUUGGGGCUGAUAGGCAAUGGUUUAAUUGCAGGCAGAGUCUUGCGCCUGAUUUGCCUAUCAUAAUGUCCUUGGUGGAAGUUAUGGACUUCCACCCACCCUGCUCCCACCCUCAGUGUGUGCAUUAAAUUCAGAACUCUCACCAGGCCCUAUGUUUGCUGUGUCCCCUGCCUCACUUCAUGCCCUGUACAGUGACCUUCCGUCCUGUCCUCAUGCUCACCGCACAGUCUUUGACCAGAGUUUUUGCAUCCCCAUCUCUGCAACUUCCCUCAAAUCUGCUGCAAGGCAACACAUCCUCUGCCUCCUUUAAAUCCCGAUUCAAUCCUCACUGCCCCGACCUAAGUCAGUUCCGUCCAUCAUAAAGUCCCUUGACGCCAUGCAGCAAUUCAGCAAUUCAGCAUCAUAUUUAUCAAGGAAGCUUGCUUGCAUUUGUGAGAUCCCUUUGGCACCUCCCUCUGCUAGAGGAUAAAUGCCAAGGUCGUGAACUGCCUCUCUCUCUCUUUUUUUUUUUCUGAGACGAAGUCUUGCUCUGUCACCUAAGCUGGAGUGCAGUGGCACGAUCUCGGCUCACUGCACCCUCUGCCUCCCAGGUUCAAGCAAUUCCCCUACCUCAGCCUCGGCAGUAGCUGGGAUUACAGGCGCACACCCAGCUAAUUUUUGUAUUUUUAGUAGAGACGGGGGGUUUUACCAUGUUGGCCAGGCUGGUCUUGACCUCAGGUGGUACACCCGCCUCAGCCUCCCAAAGUGUUGGAAUUACAGGCGUGAGCCACCACACCUAGCCGAACUGCCUCUCUCUUUGCUGGCCUCUUAACACCUUGCCUGGCACAAAGGAGGUCCUCAAAAAUGUGUGUUGAAUAAAACUUGCACAAUUCACUAAGCAAGACUCCUGCACUAAAGAUACCUAUUUUAAAACUUACAGAGUUUCUAGUUAGCUAGAACAUAGUAUCCAAGAGGCUGAGAAUCUUUGCCUAACCAUUUUAGGACCCUUUUACUCCGUGAAGCCAGUGCCCAUCACAAUGGCUUUCACAGAGUAAAAGGGUCCUAAAGUGGUUUUCCUGGGCAUGGUGGCUCAUACCUGUAACUCCUGAAUUUUGAGAGGCCAAAGUGGGAAGAUUGCUUGAGGCCAGGAGCUCGAGACCAGCCUGAGCUACAUAUUGAGACCUCAUCUCUACAAAAAAGUUUUAAAAAUUAGCCAGAUGUGGUGAUACACACCUGUAGUCCUAGCUACUCAGGAGGCUGAGGUGGAAGGAUCUUCUGGGCCCAGGAGUUCAAGGUUUCAGUGAGCUAUGAUGGUGCCACUGCAUUCCAGCCUGAGCGACAGAGUGACAUGCUGUCUCUAAGAAAAAAAAAAGGGUUUUCACUCCUAUCUCUAAUAACUCCUCUUCUAAGAAAAUAUUACAAGAAUGUAAUCAGAAAGGCAGACAAAGAUUAAAUACAAAUUUAAUUAUUAUUUGCACAGAAACAGCUGGAAACAAGCUAAAUAUCCUAUGUUAGAGAAUAAUUGAAUAAACUAUCAAGUACUUCUUGAUGGAAUAUUAUGAUGCCAUGAAAAUAGUACCUGAGAAUUUCUUUUUUUUUUUUUUACUUUGGAAACAUUUUAUGGGAUGAGGAUAAGAAGAAAAUUUAAUAUGCUACAUGUUAAAUUAUUUCAACUGUGCAAAAAAUAUACAGAAAGCAAUUGGGAAAAGUAGCCAAAUAAAGAAUGAUGCUAGGUAGUUGAUUGUUUUAUUUUCUUUUAUUUUUACCCUUUUUGUAUUAUUCAAAUUUUCCACAGUGUCACAAUGAAUAAAUCAAAAGCUAUGUAAAAAUUAAAGAAUUUGCCGCAAGUCCUGGGUUCAUAACUGUGACUGAUAGACAGCAAAAGGGUAAGCAGCCAACAUAGCCAAUGAGGACCGCAUGCUAAUUAGGUUCCUGGCACAAUUUCGGAAUAUAAGAAGGGCAGACAGAUUAUCCUGGGGUCCUCUUGUUCAGGCUGGGGUGUGAACAAGUGAGGGUGAGCAUUCUUCCAGAGACCCUGCGAACAACUCAGUGGGGUCACGCAGUGCAGCUGUGCUUAGUGGAGGGUAGGCAGUCAGGACAAAGUGAAUCCUCGGGUUGUGACCCAGCACGUGAUGUUAGCAAUGUGGUGCCUUGGUGCAGACUGAGUAAUCUCUCCCAUUUCUCCUCCUCCUGAGAAAUUCACGAGGCAGAGAGUGGUGGACCGACAGGAAUAGCUGCCAACCCUGAGGCAGAGAUGGACGUCUAGGGAUCUCUGGUGGGAAACAUGCCUGAUCACAGAUAAGACUCCUCAAGCGGCAAAAACACCCUGGCCUAAGAAAUGGAUAGGAACGUAGUUUGAAACCUUGCACUCGAUCACCCUGUUCCCAGUGGAAAUAGAUGCCUGCGCUAUAGUAAGUGUAAACUUUCUCUCGCUGUCUUUCUUACACGCACACACACAAAUACACACAUUCUCUUUCAUGUUGACCUGAGGAAAGUGACCCAGUGGCCUGACCCAGAACCUGAUUCCUUGCACACAUCUUGGCGCAGCCAUUGAGGUGCCCAGCACCCAGACACACAGCAUUUAACUGGGGCAGCUGGCUUCUCAGACCUGCCUGGGAACGCUAACUGGGCAUUGGAUACGGUGCGAGAGAGAGCUCAGAAUGCGUUUAUGGUGUCCAGCAGAUGACCAUCCCAGUGUGGGACUUUACAGUAGUAAUGAGCAAUGGAAAUUUUGAAAAUAUUUCUCAGAAAACAACCGCUGGCCAGAGAGCCCUAAUUUAGGAAUCUUGCACAACUUUUCCAUCACGUGAUGAAUUUUGAGUUUCUAGUGUCACAUGUGCCAGAGUUUUCAGAGUCCUGAGGCCUGUUUUGCUUUGUUUUCUUUGCCUUUUUAUAAUACUAAAGAUUAAAGCUAGUCAGAUAUUUUGGGAUAUUUCAGUUAAACAAAUCUCUGUAUUUCAAAGCAAAAACGAUAGAUAAUACUGUUUUUGCUGGUGGAAAAUAAGCUAAUCGUCCUUGUUGCCUGAAGACUGCUUUUCAGCAGAACGGCCAGGCCCUGCCUUCACAUAGAGAUGUUACAGGCUCUGAGUGAAUGGAAUAGGUGUCCAGGCCAGGUAGGACUUAAAGUUUCUAACAACAAAUUAAAUGGUUGUUGUCGAGCAGAGUGAGUAGAGUUUCAUGAGUUACAUGAAGGAUUGUAGGUGUGGGUGCCCCUGAGCCUCCUCACACUUCAGUGUAUUUGCGAUGUUGCAUUGAUGCUGUUCCUGAGCUAGGGAUUCAGAAUUAAGCUGACGGAGCCCACGCCACGUGAACUCCAAUUCCCACUGCAGUGUCCUUGAUCCACACUGACAUUCCAGAGCACCCCCGUUCCGCUCUGCAGCAAAAGUUAAGACACCAGAAGCCUUUGUAAAUGAUCCCUGAACAUUCAAGCAUGUUCCUCCAGUCAAAAACCAAUACAAUGCCAAGGAUUUACAGGAAUUGUUUUGGAAAAUUAUAUACAUUGAAUUAGCCCACUCUUGUUCAAAAUCAUUGCACAUCCACUCUUGGAUAGAACAGUAUAAUGCAUGUAAAGCACUUGUCAAUCCAGACAGCUAUAUAAAUCUUAGUUAUUUUUAUAGUAUAAUUGACAGAGCUCUCAUCUUGAGUCAUCUAGCAAAUAAUUUAUAAGUGCCUACUACAUGCCAAGCAACAUUCUGGGCCCUGGGGAUAAAGGAAGGAAAACAGAUAAAAAUUCCCCAACCUAAUGGAACUUGUAGUAAGGGAGGAGAAAAUAAACAAGACCAAUAAGUAAAAUAACUUGUGCAUUAGAUAAAAAGAUAUGCAAGAGAAAAACAGAACAAAAAGGAGGGGUAUAUAUACUGGGGAGGGUGAGAACUUUAGGUAAAGUAGCAAGGAAGGCCUCCCCCAAGGGUGAUAGCUGGGUAAAGUUGAGGCCAGUGCAGCUGCAGUGCCUUGAGGGGUUUGGGAGGUGGGCGGUGGAGGGAGUAGGAGAUGGGGCCAGGGAUAGCAGAGCCCAAACUGUCUAAGGGAAUAGCCUUAAGGGACAUUUUAAUGAUGUUGGCUCUUACUCUGGGUGAGAUGGGACGUCACUGUAGGACUCCGAACAGGGAAACGGCACAAAUUUUAACUUCAUCACUGGCUUCUUCUUUGAGCUCUUUCUUGACCUCGGUUGUCUUGUCAUUGAAAAAAAAGGCAGCAAGUGUGGUUGUGUGCCAGGCCUAUCCUCCCACUUAAUCCCGCUGUUAGAUUUUAUGAUCUCUGCUUUAUUUUAGAGGCUAACGAGGGUAAGUAUCUGCCUAGAGUCAUGGAGCUAGUAACUGACGAAGCUAAGGUGGAAUUGAGUCUGUUAUUUUCUGUUCUAAUAACCGCAUCACCUUUCACAAAAUAAAUGCAUCUAUCAGAAGAAUUGGUGGACCAAUCUUGGGGACAUGGGGAGGCAAAGUUGAGUCACAGAGAGCCCUGGUUGAAAUAUAGGUUCCAUUUGGACAAAGUUCAGUUUACAAGGGACUUUCACAUCCAUGCCUCAUUUGAUAAGCAUGAUGGUACUAAAGCACCAUUGCCCGGAUUGCAGAGGAGGCACUUGGUAAGGUGUAGAAAGCAGAAUUUCAGAUGAUAGUCCAACACUGUAUUCUUCGCAACCUUCUCACUGCUGGACACCCAAGGACUCAGUAAGAGGGAACAGGAGAAAGAACAUGACUUCAAAACCUAGCUCAGAUGUUACCUGUCAAGUUAAGAAUUAGAAACACAAGUCCUGCAACUGGGCUUAUGAACACAGUUGAUCCCUGGGAGGUGGGGUGAUCCCCAGGAGAAAACAGGCAAAUCUGACUCGGGUCCCACACACUGCAGUCAUUAUUUUACUGUGUCUUAUAGGCUGUGCUUUGCUUUACGGGCUUAGAUCUACAUCUAAUUUGGUUCCCCUUCAAUAUUUCAAUCUUCAUUCAGGGCUCUGCUUCCCUGGGUCCACCCACGCCCUGUGUCCCCAGCUUGACCCGACAGCUUCCAUGAGUAAUCGGGUCUCCACCCUGGGGAUACCCUCCCAUCUGCAGGCUGCAUCUGCACUUGGCUUGGGACAGCCUUGGCCAGGGCUGCAGGGUGUUCCCUCGUGGCCGCCUGCCUCUGCUCCCUGCCCUUUGCCUCCCUCUGGUGGGCACAGUGGCCAUCCUGGCAGCAGGGCUUGGUCAGGGCCUUUGAAGUGACCUGCUGUGUCAGACUCUUUGGGGCUUAAUGUGGGUCAAACUCAUCUGCAGAGCUUGUUUUGAACACACAUUGCCAGGCCCCAGCCCCAGAGUGUUUGAUUCAGUCAGCCUGGGGUGCAUCCUGAUAAUGUGCAUUUUUAAACAGGUUCCCAGGUGAUGCUGAUGCUGCAGCACACUGAGGAAGCCACUGCUGCAGUCCCACCAGUUCACGGAAAGUGGCUGCAGUGUGCAAAUGUUUCAGAACUGCUGGGGCAGAGACCAAGGCCCUUGUUCCCUGAAACAUUGAUUAAGACGCCUAGGCUUCUCUGAUGCCUGGGUCCAUGUAUUUAACAAACGUUUAUUGCAUACACAAUGCGAGGUGCAACACAGUAGGCACAGCAGUCAUGACACACCCCCAGCACCUCACAGUCAGAGGAAAAACAAGGACAAAAGAGCCACAUUUAAGCAGAAUUAGAUUCCAAGCUGCAGUACAACAUUUUUGAGGAACUACCCCCCUCCAGGAUUAAAGUGUUUACUUUGGGAAAGUCCUUCUAAUAAUGGUAUACUUCCAAAUUCAUCAAUAAAAGACUUCAGCAGUUAAAAAAUAAUUAUCAUCAAGGAUAACAUUUUCAGACUACUGACUUUGCUCCAGGUCCUUUCAAAGUGUUGAUUCAUUUAUUCCACACAACAGCCUAUGGAAGUAGAUUCUGUUAUUUCCCCCCAUGUUACAGAUGUGAAAACUGAGAUACAGAGGGUUAAGUGACCUGCCCAGGACCACACAGAGAGGAAGAGGAGAAGUUAAGAUUCACACCCUACCGAUCUGGACGUUAUAGUCCAUUCAUAAAAUGAUUGUGAUACAUUUGAAAGCUAAAAAUGUUUUUUUUUCUGUUGAAAAAGUAACAAACACAUGUAUAAAAUCUGAAAUUUAAAAGGAGUUACAAUAUUUUCAAAAUUCCGCCAUGUCCCCACCACCCAGAGAGCUGCUGUUUACCUUCUGGUCUGCCAACUUCUUUAGGAACAAGAGAACUGCAAAUAUAUGGUACCCAAUUGAGAUACAGAAAAUUGUUGUAAUCUACAUUUUAUAUAAUGGUGCUUAGAAAUACAAUCUACACAUAAUUAUACAAAAUGCAUGUCUAUUGAAAAAAACUGAAUAACAGUAGAAAGAACAAAAUAAGAAUCAUUCAAUACUUCAGGAUUACAAAUUCAUACUCCAAGAGCUUACGAGAAUUAAAUGGAAAUUAAAGAACAUCUGUAUAGAUGCAAGAUAACGAGAUGAGGAACAUGUCUCUACAUAAAUAUUCACUGAAUUCCUGAUUUUCAUUUUUACACUGACAUUUUUACUUUGUGCCUUUAUGUUAUCAUUGAAGAUGUCCCUUCAGAUACUUCAGAUAUUUUACUUUACAUUUUAAUGGUUUUAGUGUGGUGGAGACACCCUGAGAAGCUACUCAAUCUUUCUCAUUCAGUAAUUUUCUAUUUUUCAUCUUAACUCAGGACAAAAAGACACAAACAGUUUAUGAUGUUAGAGAAAGAGUUGAAAGUAAAAUUGGUAGACAUAUGGAUUGUUAAUUUCUCUAGAGGAUCCCAAGGGAAAUAGAAAUAUUUUAACUGAGUGUUUUACAUUGUUAACUCAAUGCUUUGUCAUAUGUUUU
rnacentral:lncRNA from 1 species